rnacentral:rRNA from 1 species
GACGAACGCUGGCGGCGUGCCUAACACAUGCAAGUCGAACGGAAAGGCCCUGCGUUUGUGGGGUGCUCGUGUGGCGAACGGGUGAGUAACACGCGAGUAUCCUGCCCUUGACUUUGGGAUAACUUCAGGAAACUGGGGCUAUUAUCGGAUAGGAGCUCUUGCUGCAUGGUGGUGGUUGGAAAGUUUCGGCGGUUGGGGCUGGACUCGCGGCUUAUCAGCUUGUUGGUGGGGUAGUGGCUUACCAAGGCUUUGACGGGUAGCCGGCCUGAGAGGGUGACCGGCCACAUGGGGACUGAGAUACGGACCAGACUCCUACGGGAGGCAACAGGGGGAAAUAUUGCACAGUAGGCGGAAGCCUGAUACAGAAGCGCCGCGUGCGGGAUGACGGCCUUCGGGUUGUAAACCACUUUCGCAUGUGACGAAGCGUGAGUGACGGUAAUGGGUAAAGAAGCACCGGCUAACUACGUG